rnacentral:lncRNA from 1 species
GGAUGAAGUGGAAAGACUUCAGUGAAAGUGCAAUGGAUGAAGUUUUCUACAUCAUCAUCGUUGAGUGGUUUCUCGCACUCACUGCAGCAUACUAUAUCGAUAAGAUUGUUUCAUCCGGAAAAGACCCCAUGUUCUUCUUGAAAAAACCUUUCAAGAAAUCCCCUUCUAUGCGGAAGCCUAGUCUGCAGAGGCAAGGCUCCAAAGUCUUCGUUGAAAUGGAAAAACCAGAUGUCGCUCAGGAGGUACGAAGACAAAUGGAUUCACCAUAUAUUUCAUGUUCUUGAUUAUUCAGGCUCUAACCAAAAAAUAAAAACUGUUAAAAUCAGAUAGAAAAGGUUGAGAAGUUGAUGCUUGAGGCUAGCACAAGCCAUGCCAUUGUUUGUGAUAACCUGAAGAAGGUGUACCCAGGUAGGGAUGGGAACCCACCAAAAAUGGCAGUGCGUGGAUUAUCCCUCGCUGUGCCUUCAGGAGAAUGUUUUGGCAUGCUAGGGCCUAACGGUGCUGGCAAAACCUCCUUCAUCAAUAUGGUCAGUACCCAAAUGGGAAAAAGCUUUUCUGUUUUAGUUUAGUUUAGAUUCUAAUCUUUGUAAUUGAUGUAAUAUGUACUGUUGUCUUUUCCUGACCAGAUGACUGGACUCCUGAAACCAACAUCCGGAACAGGGCUUGUCCAAGGCUCAAUACAGUUCUUACAUUAUGGUUUCUAAUAUAAAAUGUUUCCUCUCUCUAAGCUUGUUAUAUUUGCUGCUUCCUUGCAGGACUCAAGUUCUUUCGGCUUAAUGACUACAGUCUCCAAUUUGUUUUCUAUUUUCUUUAUGUAAAUCUGCAAAUCGCCCUUUGCUUUCUAGUUUCUUCAAUAUUUUCAAAGGUCAAAACAUCGACAGGUACAAACGUAAUUCUUGAAUUCGAUCAAGAACAUGUUGGAGGGUUUAGAGGAACUAACGGGAUUCCUGUUAUGUCUAAAUUAUAGUUGUUGCUUACAUAUACGUGUUUGGAUCUGGACUUUUGGGCACGUUUCUGUUCCAGUUUCUGAUUCAAGAUUCAUCAUUUCCUAGUAAGUUAUUGAGACUAAAACUUGAAGAGCAGUAUUUAGUACACUCGUUUAUGUGUUUAUUCUCACAACUUACUACGAUUGCAAAUCAACACUACUUUUACAGGAGGCUGGAUUAUUUUCAUGGAGUUGUAUCCUGGCUUCUCCUUAUACCGUGGCCUCUAUGAGUUCGCACAAUUUGCCUUCCAAGGAAACUUGAGAGGGGCAGAUGGGAUGAAGUGGAAAGACUUCAGUGAAAGUGCAAUGGAUGAAGUUUUCUACAUCAUCAUCGUUGAGUGGUUUCUCGCACUCACUGCAGCAUACUAUAUCGAUAAGAUUGUUUCAUCCGGAAAAGACCCCAUGUUCUUCUUGAAAAAACCUUUCAAGAAAUCCCCUUCUAUGCGGAAGCCUAGUCUGCAGAGGCAAGGCUCCAAAGUCUUCGUUGAAAUGGAAAAACCAGAUGUCGCUCAGGAG